rnacentral:lncRNA from 1 species
UAGACGGAGUUUCGCUCUUGUUGUCCAGGCUGGAGUGCAAAGGCACGAUCUUGGCUCACUGCAACCUCUGCCUCGCAGGUUCAAGUGAUUCUCCUUCCUCAGCCUCCCGAGUAGCUGGAACUACAGGCAUGCACCACCAUGCCUGGCUAAUUUUGUAUUUUUAGUAGAGACGGAGUUUCUGCACGUUGGUCUUGCUGGUCUGGAACUCCCGACCUCAGUUCUAAAGAAUCAUUCUAAAAUGGACUGGAAAUACAACAUUCCGAGUUAGAGAGGAACUGUCUGGUACAGCCCGGGGAUUGUUCCUCUCUCCUCUGGAAUCAGGAUGUGCUUCAAAGUUUUGUCCAGUGAACCGCCUCACCCCUGAGGUAUAUAACCCAGGGAGGACUGCCUUUUUGGGUCCCUCAGCUGUGGUGCAAGCGGGACACACACAGCUGAGACUCCAUCUGCCCUGGAGAAGCUUUCUUGG